AAGAUUAUUUAGCUUUCUGUGUUGAUGUACGUUUGUUUAGUAGGAUGUAAUUAAGCAUAAUGAAAUAUAAUCUUACACCCUACUAAGCUUACAUUAUACAGAAACCUUAAUAACCUUUCCUAAACAAGCAUUUAGUAGACAAAUGGAGAACAUCUAUAACAGCAACCAGAAUUUGCUCAAGAUACAGGACAACAACAACGAGAUUUUGAUCACUCCACUUCAGUGAUGACUUCUAACUCUUGGUACAGACGUCUCCCACGCAUGCCUGCAUCAGUCUUCAUGGGACCUCCAGAGGCGAAAGGAUUAGGCGGCAUUGUUAAAUCAUCUCCUCCUUCCAACAUUUGAACAACAACUUUCAUCGAGGGACGAUCUGCAGGGUACCAUUGAAUGCACCAUAAUCCAACAACUGUGAGUUUCCUUGCAAUUUUAGCAUCUCCUUCUUCCUCAAUCCGGAUUCUUAGCUCCUGUCCUUGAUCCAAAUGAUUAUAUAUCCACUCUGGGAAGAAGACUUGGCUAGUUUUCUCCACGUUAACGUCGAUGUUUUUCCUUCCUCCAACAAUUUCUAGCAGCAGCAUUCCAAAGCUAUAAACGUCUGACUUAUAGGACACAUUCCCAAAAUUUCUAGAGAACACUUCAGGUGCAAUAUAGCCCAUAGUCCCCCUUGCUGCAGUCAUUGAUACAGCACUUUGAUCCUUGGAACAUAGCUUUGCCAAGCCAAAAUCAGAAAUUUUUGGAUUGAAGUUGUCAUCUAACAAAAUAUUAUGAGGUUUGAUAUCGAAAUGGAGAAUUCGCUGAUCACACCCCUGGUGAAGAUAUUCAAUCCCCUUGGCAACCCCAACAGCAAUAUCUUGCAGCUUCUCCCAGCCAAGGGAACGGUUGUUACCAUCAUCCGAAAAUAUGAAUUUCUCUAGCGAUUCAUUUGGUAAGAACUCAUAAACCAAAGCUCUUCUGAAUCCAUCAGCACAGAAUCCAACCAAGCGAACAACAUUAACAUGGUGGAUUCUUCCCAUUGUUCCCACUUCAUUAAUAAACUCUUCUCCAUUCCCCAUCGAACUGUUGAGGAUCUUCACAGCCACCAGAAUCUCAGUAGAAAGCUUUCCCUUGAACACUGUGCCAUA
rnacentral:misc_RNA from 1 species